rnacentral:rRNA from 1 species
GAUGAACGCUGGCGGCGUGCCUAAUACAUGCAAGUCGAGCGAACGGACGAGAAGCUUGCUUCUCUGAUGUUAGCGGCGGACGGGUGAGUAACACGUGGAUAACCUACCUAUAAGACUGGGAUAACUUCGGGAAACCGUAGCUAAUACCGGAUAAUAUUUUGAACCGCAUGGUUCAAAAGUGAAAGACGGUCUUGCUGUCACUUAUAGAUGGAUCCGCGCUGCAUUAGCUAGUUGGUAAGGUAACGGCUUACCAAGGCAACGAUGCAUAGCCGACCUGAGAGGGUGAUCGGCCACACUGGAACUGAGACACGGUCCAGACUCCUACGGGAGGCAGCAGUAGGGAAUCCUCCGCAAUGGGCGAAAGCCUGACGGAGCAACGCCGCGUGAGUGAUGAAGGUCUUCGGAUCGUAAAACUCUGUUAUUAGGGAAGAACAUAUGUGUAAGUAACUGUGCACAUCUUGACGGUACCUAAUCAGAAAGCCACGGCUAACUACGUGCCAGCAGCCGCGGUAAUACGUAGGUGGCAAGCGUUAUCCGGAAUUAUUGGGCGUAAAGCGCGCGUAGGCGGUUUUUUAAGUCUGAUGUGAAAGCCCACGGCUCAACCGUGGAGGGUCAUUGGAAACUGGAAAACUUGAGUGCAGAAGAGGAAAGUGGAAUUCCAUGUGUAGCGGUGAAAUGCGCAGAGAUAUGGAGGAACACCCGUGGCGAAGGCGACUUUCUGGUCUGUAACUGACGCUGAUGUGCGAAAGCGUGGGGAUCAAACAGGAUUAGAUACCCUGGUAGUCCACGCCGUAAACGAUGAGUGCUAAGUGUUAGGGGGUUUCCGCCCCUUAGUGCUGCAGCUAACGCAUUAAGCACUCCGCCUGGGGAGUACGACCGCAAGGUUGAAACUCAAAGGAAUUGACGGGGACCCGCACAAGCGGUGGAGCAUGUGGUUUAAUUCGAAGCAACGCGAAGAACCUUACCAAAUCUUGACAUCCUUUGACAACUCUAGAGAUAGAGCCUUCCCCUUCGGGGGACAAAGUGACAGGUGGUGCAUGGUUGUCGUCAGCUCGUGUCGUGAGAUGUUGGGUUAAGUCCCGCAACGAGCGCAACCCUUAAGCUUAGUUGCCAUCAUUAAGUUGGGCACUCUAAGUUGACUGCCGGUGACAAACCGGAGGAAGGUGGGGAUGACGUCAAAUCAUCAUGCCCCUUAUGAUUUGGGCUACACACGUGCUACAAUGGACAAUACAAAGGGCAGCGAAACCGCGAGGUCAAGCAAAUCCCAUAAAGUUGUUCUCAGUUCGGAUUGUAGUCUGCAACUCGACUACAUGAAGCUGGAAUCGCUAGUAAUCGUAGAUCAGCAUGCUACGGUGAAUACGUUCCCGGGUCU